rnacentral:rRNA from 1 species
UAAAUAAUGUGAUUUUUUAUUAGUAGGUAUUGCAUAUCAUUUAAAGAAAAUUUUAUAUUAAUAAAAUAUAAAAUUAAAAGGUAGAAAUUUUUAUUAUUUUUGUUGUUUCAUAAUAAAAAUUAUAAAAUUUAGGGUUGAAAAGUCGACUUUUAAGAUAUUUGUUUUAAGUUGUGUUAAUUAUAAGAAAUUUAUAAUUUUGUUAAAUUAAUUUGUUAUAAAAAGUAAAAGUUGAAGUAUUUUUAUAAUUAGUUUUAUAACUGUUUAUUAGUUAAAAUUUAAAAGUUUUUAAAAUAGUUUAAAAUUGUUAAAAUUAUAACAAUUAUAUUAUUUUAAAAUUAGUAAUAAAAAUAAAUUAUUUGAGGUUUAUUCAAUUUAAUAAAAUAACUAAAAAUUUAAUCAAAUGUUUUUUAAAGACUUAGACUUUUAAAUAAAGUUUGCUUCUGCCCGAUGAGAAUAAAUAAAUGGCAGUCUUAGCGUGAGGACAUUAAGGUAGCAAAAUAAUUUGUGCUUUUAUUGAGUUCCAGUAUGAAUGAAGUUAUUGGUUAAAUAUUUUUUUAUUUUUAUAAAGAAUUUAAUUCUAUAUAAAAAAAUAUAGUUAUAGUGACACAAAGAUAAGUCUUCGGAAAUUUUUUUUAAAUUGAUUUCUCGAUGAAAUUAAUUUAAAAUUUUCUAGGGCAGAAUUUUAAAUAAUAAAAUAUUCUAUUAAUAAAUAUAAGAAUUACUCCGGAGUUAACAGAAAAUCAUACUUAAUCUAGUUCUUAUAGUAAAGUAAGUUUUACAUCGAUGUUGUAUUUAAGUUUAUUAAAAAAGGAGAAGAUUUAAUUUUUAAGACUGUUCUUCUUUUAAUUAAUUUAACGUGAUAUUAGUUUAAUUCAUUGUGAGAUAGAAUUGUUUAUCUUGGUUGUUAUUGAUUAGAAAUUUUAAUAGUACGAAAGGAAAAUUAAAAAAAGUUUUAAACUUUUAAAAGAAUUUUAACUUCUUA